rnacentral:rRNA from 1 species
GAUGAGCGCUGGCGGCGUGCCUAAUACAUGCAAGUCGAGCGAACGGACGAGAAGCUUGUUCCUCUGAUGUUAGCGGCGGACGGGUGAGUAACACGUGGAUAACCUACCUAUAAGACUGGGAUAACUUCGGGAAACCGUAGCUAAUACCGGAUAAUAUUUUGAACCGCAUGGUUCAAAAGUGAAAGACGGUCUUGCUGUCACUUAUAGAUGUAUCCGCGUUGCAUAAGCUAGUUGGUAAGGUAACGGCUUACCAAGGCAACGAUGCUUAGCCGACCUGAGAGGGUGAUCGGCCACACUGGAACUGAGACACGGUCCAGACUCCUACGGGAGGCAGCAGUGGGGAAUCUUCCGCAAUGGGCGAAAGCCUGACGGAGCAACGCCGCGUGAGUGAUGAAGGUCUUCGGAUCGUAAAACUCUGUUAUUAGGAAAGAACAUAUGUGUAAGUAACUGUGCACAUCUUGACGGUACCUAAUCAGAAAGCCACGGCUAACUACGUG